AGCCAUAUAGUCUAUUUAGGAUAGCAAAUUGCAAAUUUGAAGGAGGGGGAGCGCCCUAAGGCUU
rnacentral:tRNA from 1 species